rnacentral:tRNA from 1 species
GCCCCUGUAGUUUAAUGGAUAAAACAUAGACCUCCGGAGUCUAAAAUACGGGUUCGAUUCCUGUCGGGGGCA